rnacentral:rRNA from 1 species
UACGGAGGGGGCAAGCGUUAUUCGGAAUUAUUGGGCGUAAAGGGCGCGUAGGCGGCUAGAUGUGUCAAAGGUGAAAUCCCUCGGCUCAACUGAGGAACUGCCUUUGAAACUGUCUGGCUUGAGGCCGGGAGAGGGUAGCGGAAUUCCAGGUGUAGCGGUGAAAUGCGUAGAUAUCUGGAGGAACACCGGUGGCGAAGGCGGCAUCCUGGACCAACACUGACGCUGAGGAGCGAAAGCCAGGGGAGCAAACGGG